UACGUAGGGUGCAAGCGUUGUCCGGAAUCAUUGGGCGUAAAGAGCGUGUAGGCGGCCAGAUAAGUCCGCUGUGAAAUCUCGAGGCUCAACUUCGAGCUGUCGGUGGAAACUGUCUGGCUAGAGUCCGGAAGAGGAGAAUGGAAUUCCUGGUGUAGCGGUGAAAUGCGCAGAUAUCAGGAGGAACACCGAUGGCGAAGGCAGGUCUCUGGGCCGCUACUGACGCUGAGAAGCGAAAGCAUGGGGGGCGAACAGG
rnacentral:rRNA from 1 species